AGAGAUAGGCGAGCGCUGUUCCGAAGGGACGGGCGAUGGCCUCCGUCACCCUCAGCCGAUCAAAAGGGAGUCGGGUUCAGAUCCCCGAAUCCGGAGCGGCGGAGACGGGCACCUCGCGGCGUCCAGUGCGGUGACGCAAACGAUCCCGGAGAAGCCGGCGGGGGCCCCUGGGAGAGUUCUCUUUUCUUUGUAAAGGGCAGAUAGGCGAA